rnacentral:lncRNA from 1 species
AUCAGAAAUUAAAAAAUAAUUAGGCUUUUUUAAUCAUUAGUUUUCUGAUUGGUAUGAACACCGCUAAUAAAAUAUAAUAUUAUUAAUAUAAUAAUAUAUAUUUAUUAUAUAUAAUAUAAAGUAUUAAUUUUUGUUAGAAUAUUAUUAUAUUUCUCAUAUAAAUAAAAGUUAAUAAAAUUUUUAUUAAUAAUUCAUAUAUAUUUUUUUAAAAAACUCUUCAUCAUUCAUAAUUUAUUCACAUUAUCAAACAUAUUAUAUGUAUAUUCAUUAAAAUGUUAAAAUAUUUAUCAUCUUAUAUUAUAUAUGCAGAAAAUAAAGUAAAAUUAAAAAUAUAUAUUUUUAAAUGAGAUGCGUUAUGGAUUGGCAUCAAAUGUAAAUCUAUUGGAUACACACAUGUCCAACACGAA